UCGGAUGUGGUGCACGGCGCACGCCCGCUCUCCCUUCAUAUUCAGAGAAGUGGCGAUGAAGCGGGAGCGUUGGGUUCGACUCCCAGCAUCCGAA